GGGGGCUCUUGUAUUUGCCCUCCCUUUGCACAGUGGCAUUUGUCUAGGAUGUGAGCCGCACAAGGGACAUUCAGCCUCUCACUGCAGCAGCCACUGGCGAGGGCAUGCAAGAUACAUAGACAUUUCAUGUGCACAGUCAGUCUGAAACCAAAGAGCUUGCAAUCUCAGCGCCGAAUUAUUGUAACGUUGCCAAAGAUUCCAAGAACCUGACAUAAGGCAAAGUCACCUGUCCUUGGGAACUCGCUGGAAGAUCUUUGAGAUGGAUUCUUUCUUUAGACCAAUAUGUGAUCCGACUGCAAUGGAGAAAGAUUCAGCUGAAGUUACAUCUGCGCAACACAGCUGGAGUUGUAUUGUUUUUCUUCUUAUAAAGGACAGCAGCUGGGUUUCUAUGUACUAAGAUGGAUAUUUUGCACCCCUGAUAACUUAUUGUUUCCUAACACCUGGGGGCUUAUUCUCAAAGUAUUCAGAUGCCAAGUCACAUAGAUAAAA